GGUCUGGUGGUGUAACGGCAACAUCCUUGCUUUACCUAUUCCUGGAAGAAAUAUGUUUAGCAAGGGAUCCUUGUUCGACUCAAGGUCAGGCCA